rnacentral:misc_RNA from 1 species
CAGAGUUCGUGCCCUCACGGGUAGAUCUCCCACCCUUGUGUAUUUUCAUACCUGUGUUGCUUUGGCAGGCCGCUGGGCUGCGGCCUGGCCACCGGCUCCUCGGGGCUGGUGCGUGCCUGCCAGAGGCUCCUGUAACUCUUGUCUGUCAGUGUUGUCUGAGUACCAUGCAAAUCGUUA